rnacentral:rRNA from 1 species
CUGUAGGCUGCAACUCGCCUCACGAAGUCGGAAUCGCUAGUAAUCGCGGAUCAGCAUGCCGCGGUGAAUACGUUCCCGGGCCUUGUACACACCGCCCGUCACACCAUGGGAGUUGUAACGCCCAAAGUCGGUGGCCUAACCUUUAUGGAGGGAGCCGCCUAAGGCGGGACAGAUGACUGGGGUGAAGUCGUAACAAGGUAUC